rnacentral:rRNA from 1 species
GCUUAACACAUGCAAGUCGAGCGGUAAGGCCCUUCGGGGUACACGAGCGGCGAACGGGUGAGUAACACGUGGGUGAUCUGCCUCGUACUCUGGGAUAAGCCUGGGAAACUGGGUCUAAUACCGGAUAUGACCACGAAUCGCAUGGUUUGUGGUGGAAAGAUUUAUCGGUGCGAGAUGGGCCCGCGGCCUAUCAGCUUGUUGGUGGGGUAAUGGCCUACCAAGGCGACGACGGGUAGCCGACCUGAGAGGGUGACCGGCCACACUGGGACUGAGACACGGCCCAGACUCCUACGGGAGGCAGCAGUGGGGAAUAUUGCACAAUGGGCGGAAGCCUGAUGCAGCGACGCCGCGUGAGGGAUGACGGCCUUCGGGUUGUAAACCUCUUUCGACAGGGACGAAGCGAAAGUGACGGUACCUGUAUAAGAAGCACCGGCCAACUACGUGCCAGCAGCCGCGGUAAUACGUAGGGUGCGAGCGUUGUCCGGAAUUACUGGGCGUAAAGAGCUUGUAGGCGGUUCGUCGCGUCGAUUGUGAAAACUUGCAGCUCAACUGCAAGCUUGCAGUCGAUACGGGCGGACUAGAGUACUUCAGGGGAGACUGGAAUUC